rnacentral:lncRNA from 1 species
CACGGGCAUGAUCAAUCUCUCCUAGGUUCUUCUCAAGUUCUUGGAACACCAAAUAUCUCAGCUGCACAAGCUAUUUAGAUCUCGUACAUACUCAAUUUCUUACUCGCUGGAACAACUGUUGUAACUUGAUCAUAAAUCCUCAUAGCCCUCUUCAAAAGACAUAGUCUUCCUAUAAAUUAGGAUAUUGAAGAUACAAUGGCUUCACAACGGGGCCUG